rnacentral:rRNA from 1 species
GGUUGAUCCUGCCAGUAGUCAUAUGCUUGUCUUAAAGACUAAGCCAUGCAUGUCUAAGUACCAGCUUGUUACGGUGAAACUGCGAAUGGCUCAUUACAACAGUUAUAGUUUCUUUGGAGUUCACUUUGCUAUGGAUAACCGCGCUAAUUGUGUGGCUAAUACACGUUUGAGGUUUUUCCCGCGUUUACUGGUCUUGUGAUUUACAGUAACCUGCGACUCGCUUUUUGCGAUAUUCCAUUCAAGUUUCUGACCCAUCAGCUUGACGGUAGGGUAUUGGCCUCCCGAGGCAUCGACGGGUAACGGGGAAUUAGGGUUCGAUUCCGGAGAGGGAGCCUGCGAGACGGCUACCACAUCUAAGGAAGGCAGCAGGC